UUUAUGUAGAAAAGAUGGCGUAUUCAAUCUCUCCCCCUAGGAGAGGUGUAUUGAAAUAGACACUGAUUUGAAUAUUUGACCAAUUUCAGGGUUCCUGCGGAUAUCACGGGUGAUCAGGAAAAAAUUCAGGCAAAUUUAAUACAAGCAAGAAGAACGCCUAGGACAAUAUCGGACACAGACCAUAAUAGCAGCUCAGCCUAUCACAUUGGCAGCGAUGAAAAAGAGAAGAACAGCUUUUCCAGCACCAGUUUCAAAAGUGAAGGUGAAGUGCCGACCGCGGACGAGGACGACCUGCAGAGCUAUCUGCGGAACCGAAUCGACGGCGGACGGCCUAAAAGCCGAGAAGACAAGGUCGUCUUGGAGACGGACGAGAACAUGCGCGACCCAGAGCCAGAGGAAGUUGCGGACAGGGAGAUCUGUCGCCGGCCUUCCCUGAACCGCCUUCAAUGGCCAAUGUGAAGGCGGAGGAGAACCAAGAGCCACCUCCUGAAGAAGGGAAGUCCUCGGCGGAGCUACCACCGACGUCGAACACGGUGUCGUGGGCGUUGUCGUCGAUCGAGUGCGAAAACGAAGACGGCGCCCAGACAACUGAGCCUCAGCCUGACGAAGAAGAUUAUCUCCACCUUCCUCCUACGCCGCCGUCCAUCAUACCGCCACCGGUCGAAACACCAUUAGUGGAGGAGCCCUUGCAGAUGAUUUCUGUGCCGGUCGAGGAGCCGAAGCUGAAAACAGAGAAGCCACCACCGAAGACAGAGAAGCCAUCACUGAAGACAGAGAAGCCACCACCGAAGACAGAGAAGCCAUCACCGAAGACAGAGAAGCCACCACCGAAGACAGAGAAGCCACCACCGAAGACAGAGAAGCCACCACUGAAGACAGAGAUGCCAUCACCAAAGACAGAAAAGCCAGCACCGAAGACAGAAAAGCCAGCACCGAAGACAGAGAUGCCACCACCAAAGACAGAAAAGCCAGCACCGAAGACAGAAAAGCCAGCACCGAAGACAGAGAGGCCACCACCCAAGGCAGAGAUGCCACCACCGAAGACAGAGAAGCCAGCACCCAAGGCAGAGUUGCCACCACCGAAGACAGAGAAGCCAGCACCCAAGGCAGAGAUGCCAGCACCUAAGGCACAGAAGCAAGCACCCAAGGCAGAGAUGCCACCAUCCAAGGCAGAGGAGCCACCACCGAUCUCUUUGUCAUCUCUCCCUCAGCGCCAAGUUGUGACAUGGAAUAACGACGUGACAUCCCCCAAAAUAACCGGUGCAGCGGUGCCCAAACUGAAUUGGACGGACGUUGCCACAGCUUGGGAGCUCAGUUCACAGGCGGGUGUUGAGUUGGACUCGACCUCGGCUGCCAGGCGACUUGUUCCUUGGAGAAACGCUCAGCAAAGGCAUCCGAUCUCUCAAAAACUCGAGCAAAGCCGACACCCUCUAAAAUCCAAAAACCAGAUCAAAGAAAACCAAGUUUACCCCCGAAAAGUAUGA
rnacentral:lncRNA from 1 species